rnacentral:siRNA from 1 species
ACGAAUUCAGAUCUCUCCAACGCC